rnacentral:rRNA from 1 species
AGGGUUUGAUUAUGGCUCAGGACGAACGCUGGCGGCGUGCCUAACACAUGCAAGUCGAACGAGAAUCUUUGGAAUGAUUCUUUCGGGAUGAAUUCCAAAGAGGAAAGUGGCGGACGGGCGAGUAACGCGUGAGUAACCUGCCCAUAAGAGGGGGAUAAUCCAUGGAAACGUGGACUAAUACCGCAUAUUGUAAUUAAGUUGCAUGACUUGAUUAUGAAAGAUUUAUCGCUUAUGGAUGGACUCGCGUCAGAUUAGAUAGUUGGUGAGGUAACGGCUCACCAAGUCAACGAUCUGUAGCCGAACUGAGAGGUUGAUCGGCCGCAUUGGGACUGAGACACGGCCCAG